ACCAAACAGCUAGCUCAACCAUUAAAUAAAUAAACCAUAUAAAUAAAAUAGUAUAAAACUAAAAUCAAAAAUUAAACCAUUUUAAUGUCCUAGUACGGGAGACGAAAAAGACUACCUGAAGCAAUAGACACAGUACCGUGAGGGAAAGCUGAAAGAGUAAUGAAAUAAUUCAUAUAAGUAACAAAAAGCAAAGAUUAAACCUUGUACCUUUUGCAUCAUGAUUUAGCCAGUACAUUUAAGCAAAGAGAACUUUAGUUUAAAACCCCGAAACCAGGUGAGCUACCCCGAGGCAGCCGUCAAGGGCCAACCCGUCUCUGUGGCAAAAGAGUGGGAAGAACUCCGGGUAGAAGUGACAGACCUACCGAACCUGGUGAUAGCUGGUUACCUAAGAAAUGAAUAGAAGUUCAGCCUUGCAUACCUCCCACCAACUUAACUCAAAUAUAAAUGAAGCGUAUGAGAAAUGUGUAAGAGUUAAUUAAAGGGGGUACAGCCCCUUUAAUAAAGGACACAACCUUUUCAGGAGGAUAAAGAUCAUAUUAUACAAAACACAAUGUUCUAGUGGGCCUAAAAGCAGCCACCUAAGCAGAAAGCGUCAAAGCUCAGACAUAAACAGGUUUAUAAUCCCGAUAAUCAAAUCUUAUUCCCCUAAAAGUAUUAGGUCAACCCAUGCCGACAUGGAAGAGAUAAUGCUAGAAUGAGUAACAAGAAGAACUGCUCUUCUCCUAACACAAGUGUAAGCCAAAUCGGACCAACCAUUGGCAAUUAACAGGCUCAGCUCAAGAGAGUACUGUAAGCUGCAAAAAGACCAAGAAGAUUUCACAAUGAAACUCUGUUAACCCCACACUGGAGUGUAUUUAAAGGAAAGACUAAAAAGGGGGGAAGGAACUCGGCAAACAUAAGCCUCGCCUGUUUACCAAAAACAUCGCCUCCUGCAACAAAACCAAGUAUAGGAGGUCCAGCCUGCCCAGUGACUAUAAGUUCAACGGCCGCGGUAUUUUGACCGUGCAAAGGUAGCGCAAUCACUUGUCUUUUAAAUGAAGACCUGUAUGAAUGGCUAAACGAGGGCUUAACUGUCUUCCUCCCUCAGUCAGUGAAAUUGACCUGCCCGUGCAGAGGCGGACAUAAUUAUACAAGACGAGAAGACCCUUUGGAGCUUAAGGUAUAAGAGUUAACCACGUUAUACGACUAAAUAAGAAGCGAGAACCUUGUGGAUCUGAAAUUUUACCUUUCGGUUGGGGCGACCACGGGAGUAGAAUAAAACCUCCGAGUGGGACUGGGGGAAAUUCCUAGAACCAAGAGAGACAUCUCUAAGCCACAGAACAUCUGACCAAUAAUGAUCCGGACUAUAGUACCCGAUCAACGAACCAAGUUACCCUAGGGAUAACAGCGCAAUCCUCUCCAAGAGCCCAUAUCGACGAGAGGGUUUACGACCUCGAUGUUGGAUCAGGACAUCCUAGUGGUGCAGCCGCUAUUAAGGGUUCGUUUGUUCAACGAUUAAAGUCCUACGUGAUCUGAGUUCAGACCGGAGCAAUCCAGGUCAGUUUCUAUCUGUACAACUACUUUUCCUAGUACGAAAGGACCGGAAAAGUGGGGCCCAUACUAAAGGCACGCCCCACCCUUAACUUAUGAAGACAAAUAAAUAGAAUGAAGGGAGAGUCAAAAUUUCCAAAUGCCAAGAUAAGGCCUU
rnacentral:rRNA from 1 species